GGGGUCAUAGCUCAAUUGGCUAGAGCACUUGCAUGGCAUGCAAGAGGUUCGGGGUUCGAUUCCCCGUGACUCCA
rnacentral:tRNA from 1 species